CUUGCAGGGACCCGGGGAACCUUGACAGGACAGCCCAGGAGAGGGAGAAGCUGGCGGGAUUGCUGGCAGCGGCGGUGUUUGUAUUUUGGGCGCUGCGUGACCGUGUUGGCUCUCCGUGGUUGUUCCCUCCCUUUCCUAAAUUUUAUUUUAUUUUUCCCAUGGUGCAAGGUCUGUUAAAAAAAAAAAAAAAAAAAAGGCAAACUGUGGGCCUGAGAAUAGCGGACUCCAGGCUUCGGAUUCUCAGGGUCCUUGCACCGGGCGAAGGGAAAGACAAACAGAGCCCCAAGCCGCGGGGCCUUACUGUACAAGACCCGGGAGGAGAGAAGGGGACUGGGUGGCUCAGACUGGGGGACCCGGCGCGGGAGGAGUGGGUGAGGGAAAGGGAGAGCCCUGCGAGUGAUUUUGCAAAAGAGGAAAAGAAAAGAUUGCGAGGUUGGUUGGAUUUGCAACCUGUAGCUCCCCUCGAGGGAGUAGAAGUGGGGGAAGGCAGCGGCGGCGGCGGCCCAGGGCGGGAGUGGGUAGCGAGUUGGAGCUUCUGAAAUCGGCUGCGCUGGAGCCGGGGGGAGCGAGGGGCCACUCCAGUCCCGGAGGUAGUGACCUAGGUACUGUAAAUGUCUUGGAGAACGAUGGGCCUCGUUACCUUUAUGCUAGCAUGUUAUUGGAACGCUGGCGAAAGAAAAAUGGAACUCGUGUUGCAAUAAUGAGUUUUAAAACUCCCCCAUGGAAAACAAGAACAUAACCCAACAGAUUUUUGUAAAAAGAUCUUCUAUGUUGUGCCCCCUACCACAAAGGAUAAGACUUAGUGGUGGGCAUAGUGGAGAUCCUGACAGUUGAGCUGGGAGGAUGACCCCAGACCUGGUGUUGAAAGCUGUCUGACCACCUCCCAGACCCGUCAUCUCUCCUAGGAAAGCCAUGUCAUCUUUUAUGGUGGUUGUCGUUGUCGUUGUUGUUGUUGUUGUGUUUCAAUCAGUUUAUAGUUUCCAGGAGGGAAAUCCUAUGAUGCUUUACUUCACAAAAAAUUCUAAGUGAAUGUCAGUAGGUAGGUUUUUUCACUGUCCAGAAAAGAAAGAAAAGUGGAGCAGGAGAGACGAAACCAGAGAAAGGGCUGUUUAGAAAUACAGUUUGUGGCUCUGAGUAAUGCCACUGGCUUCCUCUACAGAGACAGCCAGUUUCCCUUUUUCUUUGCAAGGUGUGUGCGGUUUUCAUAAAUAAUAGGAGAGAGAAUGAAUCUGUCAAGAGACAGGUAUCUAUUUUGCUCACUAUUUACUACCAAGAGCCUUUGGCACUGAAACAGAACCUCGUAAAUCUGCAGCCCAAAUUGAAGUUCAUCUGGCCUUCGUCCACAUGCUAUUCCUGGAGGUAGCAAAUAUGAGCUCAAAAGAGCAAGGUGAAAUCCCAUUUUUGCUUUAAAAUAUAUGCUGUUUUUCAAAAAAAGAAGAAAUGCUGUUUGUCUCUAGGGGAGGAGGAAAUGGAGAGAGAGCACCAGGAGUUGGAUAUUCUCUUGCUAAAAUAACUAUAAUUGAGUCUUUAGGCCAAAAUAGAAACCUGUAGAUGGGAACCCCCCCCCCACAAGUUUAUAAAUAGAAGUUUCUAGUAUCCUAUUUGGAAGACUUUCCAAUACUGUAGGCUUGAGCACUGGCUGAUUUUAAGAUUCUGUUGAUAGUGACAAUAAAGCCAGAUGCUGUUCUGUAAAAUAGGUGAUUUAAAGGAGGAGACAGCCAGACAAAGCAGGAAUUCUCCAAUUGUCUUUUCUUCUCUUGCUCAGUUUUGAAGGGUUUUGUAAUCUCUAAUGCUUUCUUGAAAAGACUGUCUAAUUUAUUCUGGGUUUGGUGGACAGGGAUGGAACUCUUCAAUUCUUGAGCUGUCAUUUGCUGAGUCCUUGAAGAGUUCUUGAGUUGAGUAAAUGGUAGCCAUGACUAGAUGUCAAAAUCCUUCCUUCCCUCUAUCUCCUGCUGAGUAGCCACACUCACAACCCACUUUGCUGUGCAAAAAACCAUUAGGAGUUUCAGAGGAGGUGGUGCGGCAGCGCCACCCCUCGGUGAGUGAAACUAUUGGAAAAAGUUAAAUAUUUGAAAAAUAACUGUGUAAUGACCUUAAUGAGACAUUUUUCCCCCGGGGAAAAUUUUUUUCUUAAAUCUAGGGGAGAUAAAACCAACUUGUAAAAGAAAUACUUCGCAGUUGAUCUCUCCAAGAGGGAAGAAAACGUUGCCUUCCAGCUAGGGAUGGUGUCACAGUAGGCAACGCAGGUCCCAUGCUUUAGGGGCAGGGGCGCAAGAUGCGGUGCCCCUUGGACUUGAGUAGACAGUUCUCCAGGUCGUGGUAGCACCCUUCCCUUUGGACUUGACUUCUCUGGGCUUCUGGAUACUGCCGCUGUCUGACUUUGAGAUAAGGAGGAAUGUUUUGGUGUCUAAAAAAAAAAAAAAGUCCUGGCUGGAAGUGCAGUAAUUUCACCUUCCGCGGUGGUGGGGGUCAGGUCUGUGGACGGCAUACAGCGCAUGGCCUGCACCUCCCUGGGAGUCAGGAGAGCGCAGUGCGUGCCGGGUUUUCCUGCACUGCGCAACAAGUGGGCCCGCGCGUGCUGCGCAGGGGCCGAGCAGUCGGGUUCUCCGCGCCCCCGCGGAAGCCGGAGCUGAUGCCGCUGCCAACCCUCCCGGCC
rnacentral:lncRNA from 1 species